rnacentral:lncRNA from 1 species
CCCAAUGUACCCGGCCUAAAGAAAGGAAAUAUCACGACCCAACAUUGCCCCCUAGUUUUUUGUUGAACAGAAUGUUUAAUAGAAAACUAUAAAUGGCCCAGGAUAGUUUACUAAAGGUCUAUAGUAGGAGAUAAUUGAAGUGUACCCAGUUGCUGUUCACGAAAUGAAAGGAGAAGAGAACGGAGGCCCAAAUCAGAAAAGCCCUAUCUAAUAGAUACAUGGACCCGGAACCGGACGCUUCCCAUUCAAAUUCCAAAUCAUUACUAACAUUUAAUGAGCCGGCCUUGAACACCGUGUAACCGUCAGUAUAAAAGAUAACUUUACCAAAUUUGACAGUUUUACCUGCCCAUUUGAAAUUCGAGCGCCUUUUGAACUCUCUGCUCUUCUGCAAAACGUCAAAAAUGGCUUCCCAAGACUCCGAAC